GCCUGUCCUUGUGUGGCUUACAUUCCAGGAGCGAGUGGUCACCUGUGAGAUGGAUGAGGGGCCAAGGCGAGGACAUGAGCAGGGAAGGACAUUCUGAGAGGGUGCCUUGAGUCACGACUGGAAGGAAGUGAGGAGACAAGCCACACAGGAAACCAAGGAAAGAAUAUUCCAGGAGGAAGGAACAUUUCAGGUCGUCCUCUGAGGUCAUUGGCUGUUACAGCAAGGGCUCAGCAGGACUGAAUCUAGGACUCUGGAACUCCAGCCUGGUAUCCCAGCAAACCUGCGGUGGAGGCACCGGCAUGGUCUCCGCUAUGAGCGUGAGGAAGCCCAGGCUGAGGGGUGAGCCAGGGUUGUUGGAGCUGGGAUUGUCUGCUUCACCACCUGCUGCCUCCUAAGAAAGGUGUUCCCAGCCAUUUUCAG